rnacentral:rRNA from 1 species
AUUGAACGCUGGCGGCAGGCCUAACACAUGCAAGUCGAGCGGAAACGAGUUAUCUGAACCUUCGGGGAACGAUAACGGCGUCGAGCGGCGGACGGGUGAGUAAUGCCUGGGAAAUUGCCCUGAUGUGGGGGAUAACCAUUGGAAACGAUGGCUAAUACCGCAUAAUAGCUUCGGCUCAAAGAGGGGGACCUUCGGGCCUCUCGCGUCAGGAUAUGCCCAGGUGGGAUUAGCUAGUUGGUGAGGUAAAGGCUCACCAAGGCAACGAUCCCUAGCUGGUCUGAGAGGAUGAUCAGCCACACUGGAACUGAGACACGGUCCAGACUCCUACGGGAGGCAGCAGUGGGGAAUAUUGCACAAUGGGCGCAAGCCUGAUGCAGCCAUGCCGCGUGUAUGAAGAA